rnacentral:misc_RNA from 1 species
UCAGCAUGUAGUCAUUGAGAAAUCUAAAAAGAAAAUAAAGAAAAUAAAAUAAGUACCAAAAUGAGGGCUAACAAUAUACCAUCAAAAACAAAACAAAAUUCCAGCCACAAAUAACACAUGCAAAUAACAAGGCAUGAAGAGACCAAUACUAUGUGAAAUUAACACGCUAAUAAAAUACAAAAAUAGACAGAGAGAAAGGGAGAAAAAGAAUAGAGAAGUGGAGGAAUAUAUUAGUGAAAAUUACCAGAACUCUCAUAAACGCGUGCAAGCAAAUGGCUUCAAUUUAUAGAAACAAAACCCAUUAUCCAACAGGGAUGUAAUAAUAUAG